rnacentral:lncRNA from 1 species
CGUUUUGCCGUGUCGGAGAGAUCGUAUCUGAACGUCAGAAAAAUCCAGCUCUGAGUUCCUGAGGAGCCAGUCCUGUAACUUCCUGCGUGUGUCCGUGUUUCUGUGGAGAUGGAGGCACUGCCUAAAAUUUGCAGACCUUUUUUCAGUAUUCCUCCUGACUGUGGCCUUUUCCAAGUUUUACAUAUUUACCUCUUCUGUGUGAGUGGAAAAAUGUUAAAAAGGCUGUUGAAGAAUUGAAGUCUAGUCUAUUCUUAAUGAGAGAAUAAAAUGGGGAAGUUCUAGAACCCUGAGGAUAAU